AGAGGGAUUCUAGAAUCAUUCGGUCAUUCAGUCCGCAAGUGUUUUUUGAGCACGUUGGGUGCCCAGCACUGUCCAGUUAUGGGGAACAUCAAGGUGAACGGUGUGGAGGAGAUGGCAAGACAGAAUUAAAUCAAAAAUGUCUAAUCAUAAACUUUGGAAAGUGUUUCAGAACGUCAGGGUAACCACAUUUCUCCAGGCACCUGAUGAUUAAUUCCCAGGAUCUCAGAGGCCUUUCAGAUUCUUUUGGGCCGACCACUUACUCUCAGGUCCUUCUCGGUUUUCUCUGCCUUUGCUUUUAAAAGCCAAUUCUAAGAAGGCUGUGCCUUGAAAUCAAGCAAGCAACAAAAGUCGAGAGGUGAUCAGAAAGUGGGGACACCGGGGAAGGUUGGGCUCCUGAUGACUCCAGUGACUAGAGAAAGAGCACCCGUGUACCCUGGACACCCGUUGGCCCGGAGCCUGUGGACCCCCAACUGAGCAGGGAGCUGGGGGUAGGGGUGCAGGGUGAGCAGGAAGCUAGGUCCCUUCCUCACUCCUGCCACCAAAUAGGUGAGGAGGAUUGGAAUCCAGAGGGAUUCAGAGACAUAAAUAUGUUUUAUCAGUUUCUCCUUAAAAAAAAAAAAAAGUGGGUAUCUAUCAACUCUGGAAGGGGGCAUGUUUUCUAAUGUUAGAAGUCACAGUACACAACACAAAAGAAAAGAGAUGUGGCCCAUAAACUAAAAAAAUACAAGCAAAGUUGGCUUCAAAAUAAAAUAGCAAACAAUAGGAAAAAUAUUUGCAGGAAAUGUGGCCAAAUGAUGAGAACAUUAUUGUCCAGAGUGCUUAAGAAAUUGAUCAGAAAAACCCUGAGCCCCUAAAGAUGAAAAGAACAAAGGACGCAGACUAGUCUCGGAAGAGGAAAGCAAUUUGGCUUAUAGACUUUUUGAGAAAUGUUCAGCAUCAGUGAUUAAAGAAAUGCAAAUCAAAGCCACAGCAAGGAGAUACUGUUCUCCUGUGUGGAGUUAGCUUGACCUUGGAAUGCUGUUAGUCAAGGACGUGGGGAAAUGCCCCAGCUGGUGGGCAUGUAACUGGCACAACCCUUCCAUAAAUUGGUCUGUCAGUCUUUUAAAAAUAGUUAUUUCCUUUGACUCAGUGAAUUCAUCACUGGAAAUCUAUUCUAAGAGGACAAUCCUAAAUACAGAAAAAGCAUGAAGAUGUCAGUGGCCAGGUCAUUUAUAAUUGCAGAAACAAAACAAAAACAAAAAUUUGUUGGAUGAUGGUAAAUAAAACUUCCUUUGAAUAUAAUUAAUAAAAAAUGACAUUUCCAUGGAGAGUGGGUAAAUGUGGAAAAUGCUCAUAAUAUAAGGGGAAAUUUUAAAAGAAUGUGUAUAAAGAUUUUUAGAAAAUAUAAUGACUGAAAGAAGUUAAAUUUCAAAACAACAGCAGAAAAGCUGUUGUUUUGAAAUUUAAAAAGGAAAGCUUGCAGAAUGUUCAGGAGUGACCAUCCAAAAGAAAAGCUUGCAGAAUGUUCAGGAGUGAUCAUCUAGGAGGGCUUCUGCAGUCAUGUGGAUUUCUCUCAAAAGUAGGUGACAGCAAAACUAGAACAAAAAAUUUUACAGUUUUUAUGGAAACACAAAAGACCUCGAAUAGCCAAAGCAAUCUUGAGAAAGAAGAAAUGGAGCUGGGGAAAUCAGGCUCCCUGACUUCAGACUAUACUACAAAGCUACAGUAAUCAAAACAGUAUGGUACUGUCACAAAAACAGAAAUAUAGAUCAGUGGAACAGGAUAGAAAGCCCAGAGAUAAACCUAUGCACAUAUGGUCACUUUAUCUUUGAUAAAGGAGGCAAGAAUAUACAACAGAGAAAAGACAGCCUCUUCAAUAAGUGGUGCUGGGAAAACUGGACAGCUACAUGUAAAAGAAUGAAAUUAGAACACUCCCUAACACAAUACACAAAAAUAAACUCAAAAUGGAUUAAAGACCUAAAUGUAAGGCCAGACACUAUCAAACUCUUAGAGGAAAACAUAGGCAGAACACUCUAUGACAUAAAUCACAGCAAGAUCCUUUUUGACCCACCUCCUAGAGAAAUGGAAAUAAAAACAAAAAUAAACAAAUGGGACCUAAUGAAACUUAAAAGCUUUUGCACAGCAGAGGAAACCAUAAACAAGACGAAAAGACAACCCUCAGAAUGGGAGAAAAUUUUUGAAAAUGAAGCAACUGACAAAGGAUUAAUCUCCAACUGAGACUCAUGGAACACAACAGGUAUUCAUGGGACCUUUGGUCCUGGUUCAUGGGACCCAGCUCAUGGGACCUUCCUGUGAUGCUCCAGUUGAAGGAAGAGCUUCAGGACCCAGGGUGGUGCAGAUGGCUUUCCAUCUUAGCCCCAGGAUGUGCUGCCACUCUCUGGUGGUGAUGCAUUCUCCAGUCUCCAAGGUGACUCCUGGAGCCAGGCACACUGGAGUCUCUUCCUCAAGGAAUGCCAGCUAAGUGGGCUACAGCUCCUCCUCUGCCCCACUCAGUGUGAGCAAUCCUACGGAAGGACAUUAACUGUCCCACAAGUAGCCCAGGCUGGUUGCAUGGCCACUAUGUGACCACAGGACAGAGGUUGUUAGCAGAAAGGAGGAGGGAAGGAAACGUCAUCAAGAAGCAAUAGCUAUGACACUGACUCCAGCGUGAGAGUGAAAUAAAGACAUUUUCAAACAUGGAAUUUCUCAGAAAAUUUACCCCCAAGGCAUGAUUUUUGGGAAGCCACUGGGGGGAAGAUGUUCUCUGACUAAAGAAGGAAUAAACCAAGAAAGUAGGAAAUAUGGGCUGUGGAAAACAGAGAUGAAACUCAGAAGAGAGAAGGGAAUCUGCAGUAUGCUGGUGAAGGGAGAUUCCAGAAUGGCAGCUGUGCCCCAAACAAAGAGAGCAGCCUUCACUGGAACACUGUGACAAAAGAGACAGGAAUGCUGACAAUGUCACACUGUCAUCAUGAUACACUGUGCCACUGAGCUGUCUUUUCAAUCAGAUGAAACAACUGGAGGAUUUGCUACACCAAAACAAGAUGUAAAUCAAGAAAGAGGAAGAUGUGAGACCCAGGACAGGGAAUCCAAACCAGGAGAGAGGCAAAUGGAAUUCCAAGGAUGACAGUUAAAGGGACAUCCCAGGAUGACAGUGGUGCUUAGAGAGCAACUAUCCCAGAGAAAGGAAAAUGGGUACAUCAAGGAGGGAUGAAAAAGAGGAAAAAAAAAAAAAAAAAGGAACUGAUAUGUUCCCUAAUGGGAUUGACCUGGUGGAGAUUUGGAAAGUUUGGGUAGGUACAAAGGCAAUUAUUAACUUCAGGGGAAAAAAUUAAGAAAGGGAACAAACGUAGUACCCCCCACCCAAAGUCUCAUCCUCUUAUGGUAUCAGCCAGACUUGAGGUCCAGGAUCUGGUCAACUAAAUCAGAUUUAGGUGCAGAUGAGGCUUCUUGGGCAUAGUUCCUCAUGAUCUGAAGAACUGUGAACUAAGGAGUUCACCCUGCUCCCCCAACAUGCAAGGGUGAGGAAGGGACAGGGUAACCACAAUAGAUAACCCCACACAGCAAGCACUGGUCUAUAGCAUUUCUGAAAUCUCACUAAGAACACGUGCUACUCCCUUCUGCUCCAGGAGCAGGGAGUGUGUGUUGUCUAGAGGCCCUGGGAGUAGUUCUUCAUGACUCUUAGCUCUGCCCUUGGGCUUUUGGCUUUGGCUUCUGAAUCAUCCAUGCUUUCCCAUAAAACAUGGUUCAUUUCUGUAACUGAAUAGCUUUCUCUGCCAACCUGCUUCUUGUCUGUAGAAAGUUGGGGAUUUAAAGAACUGUCCCUUUCAGUUCAAGCUUGUACAAUUUGCUGACUUAUCAUAAAUAAUGUAGGUCAGAAGACAAUGCAACAACUUUAAAGUGCUGGAAUAAUGGCGAUGACAUUACUAUCAACCCAUCUGUCAACCCAUAAUUCUACAUCCAAUGAAAAUAUUCUUCAAGCAUGGAGGGGAAAUAGACAAUUUCAGAUAAAUGAAAACUAAGAGAAUUUAUUGCCAGUAGGUCUGUACUAUAAGAGAAGCUAAAGGGAGUUUUCAGGCUAGAGGUAAAUGAUCCCAGGUGAAAUUAAAGAUCUUCAGAAAGGACUAGGAGCACUGAAAAUAUGUAUAUAAAUAUAAAAUACUCUUUUUCUUCUCAAUUUCUUUAAAACACAUGAACGUUUAAAGCAAAAAGUAUAUUGUGGGGUCUGUAAUAUAUGUAGAUAUAAUACAUAUGACAACUAUAGUAUAAAGUACAGGAUGAGGUAAAUGGCCUAUAUAAUUGCAAGUUUCCUACAUUUUAUAUGGGUUGGUAUAAUAUUAGCUUUAAGUAGACUGUGAAAAGUUAAUAAUUUCCACUUUUUACAUUUGUUAUUGGGACAUCCCAUGUGAUCAAACCAAACUCCCAGUAACUGAUAUCUUAUUAGGAGUAUGAUGUGUUGACUUCUCAGAAGAUACCUAACACUCUGGAUUUCACUGGUUUGUACAAGAAUUCCCACCCUGGCUAAAAAAUAUUUUUAAAUGGGGUACCUGUAACUUACCUCUGACUCUGACCCAGAUAAGAGAUAAAACAGUCCAUCAAUUUUUAAAUGCCACUUGAUAAAUGAGAGUUGACCAGUCUGAUCCUUGACACUUAUUCUCCUAAUUAGGCCUCAGUUGACUAAAAAACUGAAUGCAAGGUAUGUUCUCACAAUACUUGUGAUUGUUUUCAGAUCAUUCUGCCCUCUCCACUGUUUGAUUCAGAGUCUUAAAUAUUGGCGCAAAACCGUUAUUCUGAACUGGGAUCCAGCUAAUCACACCAGGCAAAAAAAAGCCUCAUGAUCAAAAGUGGUGCUGUUCGAGCUUGUUUUGAGGGGGUUGUGGAGAAAUUCUGAUGAGGGAAAUGGUGCACACCUGGAUGAACCAAGCAGAUGCUGAUGGAAGGACAACAGACGUCACACAGUAUGCGAGCUUCUCACUGCUGUGGCCUCUCCCGCUGCGGAGCACAGGCUCCGGACGCGCAGGCUCAGCGGCCAUGGCUCACGGGCCCAGCCGCUCCGCGGCAUGUGGGGUCUUUCCGGACCGGGGCACAAACCCGCGUCCCCUGCAUCGGCAGGCGGACUCUCAACCGCUGCGCCACCAGGGAAGCCCCUGAGUUUGACUUUUUUAUAUUCCACAUGUAAGUGAGAUUAUACAGUAUUUGUGUUCAUAGUGUGUCUGGCUUAUUUCACUUAGCAUAAUGUCCUCCAGGUUCAUCCAUGUUGUCCCAAAGCAGGAUUUCCUUCUUUUUAAUAAUAUUCCAUUGUAUAUUUGUAUUCCAUUGUAUAUUUAUACCACAUUUUCUUUAUCCAUUCAUCCAUUGAUGGACACUUGAGUUGUUUCCAUAUCUUGACUAUUGUGAAUAAUGCUGCAAUUAACACGGAAGUGCAUAUAUCUUUGAAAUACUGAUUUUAUUUCCUUUGGAUAUCUACCCAGAAGUGGAAUUCCUGGAUCAUAUGGUAGUACUAUUUUUAAUUUUCUGAAAAACCUCCAUACUGUUUUCCAUAAUGUCUGUAUCAAUUUACAUCCCACCAACAAUGUACGAGGGUUCACUUUUCUCCAUAUCCUCCCCAACACCUGUUAGCUCUUGUCUUUUUAAUAUUAGUCAUCCUCGGGGACUCAGUGCUUUCACUGCCGUGGACCCGGGUUCGAUCCCUGGUCAAGAUCAUAUAAGCAGUGCAGCAAGGCCAAAAAAAAAAAGGAUGACCUGUUGGCCAUCCUAACAGGUGUGAGGUGAUAUCUCAUUGUGGUUUUUUUUUUUCUUUUCAUUGUGGUUUUGAUUUGCAUUUUCCUAAUGAUUAAUGAUGUCAAGCAUCUUUUCACAUACCUGUUGGAUAUCAUAUGUCUUCUUUGGAAAAAUAUCAACUUGGGUCCUUUGCCCAUUUUUAAAUGGGGUUAUUUAUUUAUUUUUUUGCUAUUGAGUUGUGUGAGUUCCUUACACACUUUGGAUAUUAUCCUCAGUAUAUAUAUGCUUUGCAAAUAUUUUCUCCUUUUCAGUAGGUGGCCUUUUCGUUUUGUUGAUUGUUUCCUUUGCUGUGCAGAAGCUUUUCAGUUUGCAUAUUCCCAGUUGUUUAUUUUUCCUUUUGUGGUCUGUGCUUUUGGUGUCAAAUCCAAAAAAUCAUUGCCAAAACCAAUGUCAGGGAGGUUUUCUCCUAUGUUUUCUUCUAGGAGUUUUAUGGUUUCAGGUUUUACGUUUAAGUCUUUAAUCCAUUUUGAGUUAAUUUUUGUGUAUGGUGUAAGGGUCUGAUUUUCCCAACAUCAUUUAUUGAAGAAACUAUCUUUUUCCCAUUGUGUAUUCUUGGCACCCUUGUCAAAGAUUAAUUGACUGUAUGUGUGUGAGUUUAUUUUUGGGUUCUCUGUUCUGUUCCAUUGGUCUAUGUGUCUGUUUUUAUGCCAGUACCAUACUGUUUUGAUUACUAAUAACUUUGUAGUAUAGUUUGAAAUCAAGGAGUGUGAUACCUUAAGCUUUGUUCUUCUUUCUCAAGAAUCCUUUGGAUAUGCAAGGUCUUUUGUGAUUUCAUAUGAAUUUUAAAAUUACCUUUUCUAUUUCUGUGAAAAAUGCCAUUAGAAUUAUGAUAGAGAUUGAAUUGAAUGUGUAGAUCCCUUUGUGUAGUGUGGAUAUUUUUAAAAUAUUGUCUUCCAAUCCAUAAAGACAUAUCUUUCCAUUUACUUAUGUCCUUUUUCAAUUUCCUUCAUCACUGUCUUAUAGUUUUCAAUGUACAGACCUUUCAUGUUCUUGGUUAAAUAUAUUCCUUAGAACUUUAUUCUUUUUGAUGCUAUUAUAAAUGGGAUGGUUUCUUGAUUUCUUUUUUCAGAUAGCUCAUUGUCAGUGUAUAGAAAUGCAAAUGAAUUUUGCAUGUUGAUUUUGUAUCCUGCAACUUUACUGAAUUCAUUUAUUCUAACAUAUUUUUGGCAAACUCUUUAGAGUUUUCUAUAUGUAAGACUAUGUCAUUUACAAACAGGGAGAAUUUAACUUCUUUUCUGAUUUGUACGCCUUUUAUUUCUUUUUCUUGUCUAAUUGAUCUGGCUAGGAUUUCCAGCACUAUAUUGAAUAGAAGUGGUGUCAUACAGAGUGAAGUAACCUAGAAAGAGAAAAACAAAUAUCAUAUAUUAACACAUAUGUGUGGAAUCUAGAAAAAUGGUACAAAUGAACCUAUUUGUAGGGCAGGAAUAGAGACAUAGACAUAGAGAAUAGAUAUGGGAACACAGCGGGGUAAGGGGAGGGUGGGAUGAAUUGGGAGAUUAGGUUUGACAUAAAUACACUACCAUGUGUAAAAUAGAUAGCUAGAGGGAACAUGCUGUAUAGCCCAGGGAGCUCAGCUCAGUGCUCUGUGACGACCUAGAUGGGUGGGAUGGGGGAGGUGGGAGGGAGGUCCAAGAGGGAGGGAAUAUAGGUAUACAUAUAGCUGAUUCACUUCAUUGUACAGCAGAAACUAACACAAUAUUGUAAAGCAAUUUUACUCCAAAAAAAAAAAAAAAAGUGGUGAAGGUAGGCAUCCUUGUCUUGUUCCUGAUCUAGAGGAACAGUUUUCAGCUUUUCACUGUUGAAUAUGUUAGCUGUGGGCUUGUCAUAUAUGGCCUUUAUUAUGUUGGGGUACAUUCCUUCUAUACCUCAUUUGUUGAGAGUUUUUAUCAUAAAAAGGAUGUUGAAUUUUGUCAAUGCUUUUUUGGAAUUUACUGAGAUGAUCAUAUAAUUCUUAUUCUUCAAUCUGUUAGUGUAGUAUAUCACAUUUAUUGAUUUGCAUAUGUUUAAUUUUCCUUUCAUCCCAUGGAUAAAUUUCACUUGGUUGUGGUGCAUGAUCCUUUUUUUUUUCAAUAGUGAACUUAUUUAUUUAUUUAUUUAUGGCUGUGUUGGGUCUUCAUUGCUGUACGUGGGCUUUCUCUAGUUGCGGAGAGCAGGGGCUACUCUUCAUUGCAGUACUUCUCAUUGCGGUGGCUUCUCUUGUUGCAGAGCAUGGGCUCUAGGGUGCACGGGCUUCAGUAGUUGUGGCACGCGGGCUCAGCAGUUGUGGCUCACAGGCUCUAGAGCGCAGGCUCGGUAGUUGUAGAGCACAGGCUUAGUUGCUGUGCGGCAUGUGGGAUCUUCCUGGACCAGGGCUUGAACCUGUGUCGCCUACAUUGGCAGGCAGAUUCUUAACCACUGCGCCACCAGGGUAGCCCGCAUGAUGCUUUUAAUGUGCUGUUUAAUUCAGUUUUCUCUCAUUUUGUUGAGGGUUUUUGCAUUUAUGUUCAUCAGAGAUAUUGGCCUAUAAUUUUCUUUUUUUAUACUGUCUUUAUCUGGCUUUGGUAUGAGGGUAAUGCUGACCUUAUAAAAUGAGUUUGGAAGUGUUCCCUCCUCUUCAAUUAUUUGGAAAGUUGAGAAAUAUUGGCAUUAAUUCUUCUUUAAUUAAUUAAUUAAAUUCUAUUUAUUUUUAGCAGGGGAGGGGGAAGUAGAGGAGGUAAAAAAAAGUUUGGUUUCUGCAUCAAAGCACUUUCCCUAAGAGUGGUGAUUCAUUCAUUGCAUAUCAUCAUGGGUGCACAUGGUUAUCCUGGCUUUCAUGACAGUUUGAAUUCAAGGUAAUGUAUGGAAUAUGUAUUUUUCUGAAAUCCAAUGUAUUCAUGUGGACAUAUACAGGGUAUCCCUUGUGUUCUCAUUCUCAUAUGAAAGAUAAUGGUACUUUGGCUUCAAGAACAAAUAAAAAAUAUCAUAACUA